UUUAAGGUGGAGCUCAUGAAGU
rnacentral:piRNA from 1 species